CCUACGGGCGGCUGCAGUGGGGAAUAUUGCGCAAUGGGCGAAAGCCUGACGCAGCGACGCCGCGUGAGGGAUGAAGGUCUUCGGAUCGUAAACCUCUGUCAGCAGGGAAGAACGGUCACUGUGCUAAUCAGCAGUGAAUUGACGGUACCUGCAAAGGAAGCACCGGCGAACUCCGUGCCAGCAGCCGCGGUAAUACGGGGGGUGGGAGCGUUAAUCGGAAUUACUGGGCGUAAAGCGCUCGUAGGCGGUAUGUCAAGUCAAGGGUGAAAUCCCCGCGCUCAACGGGGGAACUGCCUUUGAAACUGGCAAACUGGAGUGUGGGAGAGGAUAGUGGAAUUCCAGGUGUAGGAGUGAAAUCCGUAGAUAUCGGGAGGAACAUCAGUGGCGAAGGCGACUAACUGGAACAUAACUGACGCUGAGGAGCGAAAGCGUGGGUAGCAAACAGGAUUAGAUACCCUAGUAGUC
rnacentral:rRNA from 1 species